rnacentral:misc_RNA from 1 species
AUUUGAUAGUCAAAUGAGGACAAGCAAAGCUACCAGAGCAUAUAGUCAGAUUCCUUUCAAAGGUUAGUAGUUACAAAUAAUCUAAAAAGAAUAAAAAGGGAUAACUGUUUACAUAGUCCUUAACCUAUCAUCAGAUUGGCUUUUACAAUCAAAUCGACAGGACCAACAGAAGGGAUCUAAAAAUAUCGGGACUUGAUUCUAAAAGAAGAUAUAGUUUUAGAACUAUAGAAGUUGUAUCCGUAAUAAAAGUAUGGAUGUAUUGGAUUUUUCCAUCUCAUGUAAUCAUAUUUCAACAAUAUAAAGGCUCAUCCUUGAAAGAUCCAUUGAUAGGUGAAUAUGUUCAUUCAGUAGCCAUGCACUCCCUGUCUCAUCAGUAGGCAAACAGUAAUGAAUAAAACAAAUCCUGUAUAAGACCAAUAGCACUACCCUCCUGCUCAUCAUAUAGCCUGCUUAAUUAAUUUCAGAAAGUUACAUAGUUGUGUCUUAACAGAUAAUCAGUGAGAUAUUUAGCAAGUUUCAAUAAAAUCAAUUAACAUAAUAAAAAAUUCAAGGAUGAAAAGUACCUUCCGU